UCACAAAACCCCUCAAAAAAAAAAUUCUCUCUCAAAAAAAUUACAAAACCCCUCUUUCAGUCACAACUUCCUAUUUCUCUUCAUUAAAGAUUCCCAAAACCCCUCUCUUUAGAUUACCCCCAAAAUUUCUCUCGGUUUCUUGUUCCAGGCUUUGAUUUUUCUUUUCUUCUCUCGCUUCCCAAAUCCCCUCUCUUCAAAGGUACUUCCUCUCUUUGUUCAAAGAGGGCAGUUAUCUUCGGAGAGAUUCGAAGGAUUCGAAGGAUUCAAAGAGAAAAUAAGGCCAGCCAAAUGAUGCUUCAAGUGUUCCUAAUACACCUUUGGAUGCAAGAGGAUCUUCUGGUGCUAGCAACCCUUAGUUUUCUUAUAAUGUAUUUUGGAUUUAAAUUAAAAGUUUAGUACAAUACUAAUAUUACUUUGUUAUGGAUUUUAUGUCAUACUUUGAUUUACAAUAGAAAUUUAAAUUAUAAAUCUUUGAACU